rnacentral:rRNA from 1 species
GUAGGUGGCAAGCGUUGUCCGGAAUUAUUGGGCGUAAAGCGCGCGCAGGCGGUUCUUUAAGUCUGAUGUCGAAAGCCCACGGCUCAACCGUGGAGGGUCAUUGGAAACUGGAGAACUUGAGUACAGAAGAGGAAAGCGGAAUUCCACGUGUAGCGGUGAAAUGCGUAGAGAUGUGGAGGAACACCAGUGGCGAAGGCGGCUUUCUGGUCUGUAACUGACGCUGAGGCGCGAAAGCGUGGGGAGCAAACAGGAUUAGAUACCCUGGUAGUCCACGCCGUAAACGAUGAGUGCUAAGUGUUAGGGGGUUUCCGCCCCCUUAGUGCUGCAGCUAACGCAUUAAGCAUCCGCCUGGGAUACGGCCGCAAAGGCUG